AAGAUGCUUUAAGGAAAUUGAAGAUCUCCGACGAUCCCUUUCAGAGAGGCCAGACUCAGUGCCAGUUUUGUCAGAUGAUGACAAUGUUGUUGGAUUUGGGGCAUGAGCACAGGACACCUGGAGGAUGAUCUGGAAUACCAGGGCUUAUGGGUAUGCUGCCUUUAUAAUGGGGAAGAGCUAUGUUCCUGGAAGUAAAAUGUACUGCUUGCAGCAAUAUAUUUUAAAGCAUAAAAAACAGGUGACCAUUGCUACACCUUCACCCUCACAAUCAACUCCCUCCACAACUUCCACUUCACACCUUUUCUCUGAUUAUCCAUUAAUGGAGGAGGAUGAGAUGAUGCUGAGUCUGUCUCCACCCAAUUAUCUAGUUCAACCUGUUUAUGGCAUAUUAAAUAGCACAUACUAGAGUUAUACUAAACAAAUUCUAUUGUAUAUUUCAGAGUCAUCUGCAGCCACUCGGUGUCCAGUCUUCUCCACAGCACGAGGUUAUUUUCCACAUCAGUUUUGGAGCCGUAUGCUGUUACCCACAGAUUUAUCCUUCAUAACUCUUUUUCAUACCUUUUUUAUUGUUUUGGCAGUGUUUUUGCCUGUUCUAAAACUUGUGUUCUUUUGUUAUACUAACAAUUGGUAAAGGUUGAACAUAUCACUGUUGAGGGGUCACGUGGAAACCUGGAGCCUAUCCCAGGGAUCAUCGGG
ensembl:lncRNA